rnacentral:snRNA from 1 species
GGAGGUGAGGGCGAUCUGGCUGUGACAUCUGUCACUGCCUUGAUUCGACCAGGGUUGAUUCGGCUGUUUUGGCUGGCGAGACGGGUGUCCCCUUACUCCCUCACUGCUGCUUGUGCAUCCCUCAGAAGCUGCGCUCAGAUGGCCUUCCAGAAAAGAGGCAGAGAGACGACCAUUCUUCUGUUGAGGGUUUGCAAGUAGCUGCACUCCUUUGCUAGAACCUUCACACAACCUCUCACAAAUAAUGCAAUAAAAACAUGAGGGAAGUGGCUAAGAUAUAGUGAAAUAGGAUUGGUUAUGUUUACAUAAUUUCUGAACUU